ensembl:miRNA MIRLET7A3 microRNA let-7a-3
CGUCCUUUGGGGUGAGGUAGUAGGUUGUAUAGUUUGGGGCUCCGCCCUGCUGUGGCUAACUAUACAAUCUACUGUCUUUCCUGAAGUGGCCG